GUGCGACCCGCGCCUGGCCGGGCACCACGCGCCGGCCGGGCACCGCGCGCCAGCCGGGCCGCCGGGACCCAAGGGCGAAAAGGGCGACCCUGGAGAGCGGGGAUGCUGCCCCGGCGAGCACGGCUGCCGGCCCGGCCACCACCUCCCCUUCCCCGGCCCCGGCGGCCCGGCCGGCUCCUGGCUGCCCAUCCAGUACCCGCCGAACGGCAAAGAGGAGCCGGAGAUCUACGGCGCAAUCAUCCCCCACGGUCCUCGAGGUCCCCCUGGCAGUCCCGGCCCCCCCGGCCCCCCCGGCCCGCCCGGAGCACCCGGUCUGCUCUACCUCAAUAGGGUGUACCCCGUCCGCGGCCAGCCUCCCUGCAAGCAGCCGGCAGCGUCCGACGGAGCCUGGCUGGCAGGUAAGGGCAGUU